UUCUUUCUUUCUUUUUCUUUCUUUUUCUAACUCUUUCCCUUCUCCUUUACGUGAAAGCCACCAACACCACGCCACCUUGCAGCCACCCGACGCCGACCACGUCCGGCUGCCCAGCCACCGUCGGCGACCCGCAGCCAGCCACCGCGGUGGAGACUUUAAGUUGAGUAAUUUCUAGCAUUGUGGCUAGUUGGAAAGAUGAUUUAAUUAAGGUACGUAUAAGAAUACGAGAAAACUUGAUUUUAGGAGCAUGUU